rnacentral:rRNA from 1 species
GCUUAGCUGUAAACAUUGAGUGAUUUUUUACCUUAUCAUUCCGCCUGGGUACUACGAGCACUAGCUUAAAACCCAAAGGACUUGGCGGUGCUUUAUACCCACCUAAAGGAGCCUGUUCUAGAACCGAUACCCCACGUUUAACCUCACCCUCUCUGGUUCUUCCCGCCUAUAUACCGCCGUCGUCAGCUUACCCUGUGAAGGUAAAGCAGUUAGCAUAAUCAGUUCUACUAAAAACGUCAGGUCGAGGUGUAGCAUAUGAGAGGGGAAGAAAUGGGCUACAUUCCUUACACUAAGGCAACACGGACAAUAUUAUGAAAUAAAUAUUAGAAGGAGGAUUUAGCAGUAAGCAGCAAAUAGAGAGUCCUGCUGAAACUGGCCCUAAAGCGCGC